ensembl:lncRNA
UAUUAACUAAACUGGAUCCAGGAAAAUUCUAUAAUCAGUUUUGUUAUUAAGAAAUGAAUUUUUAUUUGAGGCAUUCCUUUCUUCCUUCAUUUAUUCAUUUCUGGGACUUGGUCCAAAACUUAUAUAAAAUAUACACAGAAAGAGAGAAAACAAGUGGCCUCUUUAUAUAAACUAAUCAAGAAGGAAAUGAAGCCACCCAAAUGUGGCCUAUGCCAUCUGUGCUCUGUGAUAAAUAGCAAAACUGCAGUCAUGUUUUUUCUUUAAAUGUUAACUAUAAAAUAUAAAAUCCUUUUUAUUAACACCAGAUGUCAAGAAUGCUUAUUAAAAUGCCAUGGUUUAUUAAAUAACAUCAUUUUAGACUCACUGAGCCAGUAAAGACUGGUGGGGUUUUUUUGCAUUUAGAUUAAGCAUCUGAAAUUAUGUAUUACUUACCAGAUCUAUCCAAAUAUGUGAGUGCUAAUAUAUAUAUACACCAAAAUUUAAAUUUAGAAGUGGAAAGAUUUAUACAUCAUGGGUUUGACCAAAAUAUUUUUAAAUCUGCAAAGUAGAUUUUCAUUUGGCUGUUACGUUUAAGAUUUAUUGAGAUUUUUAUAUGCAUGAAAAAGGCAUUACUUUAUGUAUCUCAGGUCUAGAGGAAAGCAGAGAAGUUCGAAUAAAAAUAAACAGUAGCUCUAAAAUUAUGUAUUUUCUCUAUCCUUUUAGCAGCCUUUUCUUUGGCUUUCACGACAAACGUAAUUGUGAGGAAAUCUAUUCUCUUCUGUUUCUCCACAUUCCUCACCAGGUGCUCUCUGGCAAACGAAGUAAAGAGAGAGCAGGUAAGUCUCCUUGA